AUUCUGUCUCUCUCGUUUGGAAUAUUUAUUCUGUUCCUUUCACUCUUUUCCUUUUGGCACCUUAUACCUUUUGUAGUUGUUCUGCAGCCCUGGAUAUUCUUUAUUUUUUUUAGGCUUUAUUUUCUUUGCUUCUCAGUUUUUAAGGAUUCUUUGGCUAUAUCCUCUGGGCUUCCCCUCUGGUUCAGAUGGUAAAGAAUCUGCCUGCAAUGCAGGAGACCUGGGUUCGGAUCCUGGGUUGGGAAGAUCCCCUGGUGAAGGGAAAAGCUACCCACUCCAGUGUUCGGUCUGGAGAAUCCCAUAGAUUGUAUAGUCCAUGCGAUCGCAAGGAGUGGGACACGACUGAGCAACUUUCACUUUCACUAUAUCCUCUAGCUCAAAGAUUCUUUGCUCAGCCAUGUCUAGUCUACUUAACAAGCCAUCAGAGGCAGUCUUCAUUUCCUUUUCAGUGUUUCUACGUCCAGCACUUGCUUUUGUUCCUUUUGUUUCUUUCUGUAGCCCUCCAGGCUCCUGUGUCCGUGGGGCUUGGGGUGGGGCUUCAGCUGGUUUUCCCUGCUCCCACCGCAGGGUAGAGCUUGCUCCCACCGCAGGGUAGAGCUUGCUCCCACCGCAGGGUAGAGCUUGCUCCCACCGCAGGGUAGAGCUUGCUCCCACCGCAGGGUAGAGCUUGCUCCCACCGCAGGGUAGAGCUUGCUCCCACCGCAGGGUAGAGCUUGCUCCCACCGCAGGGUAGAGCUUGCUGGGGCUCGUGUCCGCUUCCCCCAGCACUCAGGCUCGGGUUAGUGGGUUUCUCCUGCAGGCGCCUUGUUAACCGCAGAGCAUUCUGGGAAGCUCAAAACGGCUCCGUCCCCCUCCCCGGCCAGAGCCAGGGGAGCUUUGUCUUUGGUGCUGUGAUUCAGGUUGCCUCCUAGGGGUAAACCUCACAGUCUCCCAGGGACCCCUCCACACACCUACGACUGGGUCCCCCUGGAGUUUCUAACUCGCAGGCUUGUCCUCCUGAGCCCCCCGCAUCUCCUCGGUUACAUCUCGGCUGUUCCCGCCCAGGCCCUGGACCCCACAGAAUUACCCACGCUGGAGCCUCUGCUCAGCCAGUAACUUGUGAGACCCCCUCAAGGGAUAAUAUCUUCUCUGAACAAUCUGGACAAUGAUGUCAGCCCACCAGGCAGGGGAUGCUGGCAGCGUGGCUCCUGGGAGAUGAGCAUCUGUCUGGUUUCCCACGGAGCUCAUCUGAUGCUGCACAUCAAGGUAAUUGCCUAAUAGUGAAUUAAAGAGUUCAAGUAUAAGAUUCACUCUGAAAUCCUUUUUCUAAUGAAAGCGCGAUGGGUGCACUGAAUCAAAGCAACAGAUUUGAUCCUCUGCAUGAAGAAUACAAAGUGCAGCAGAAGGCACAGCGUGCUUUUCCCUGGGGGACUUCAUCUGAGGUCGCAGAGCUCUGUGGACCCUCUGAUCAAGUGUCCCCAGGCAGCUCUCAUCAGACAGGCAACACGCGAGGCUUCUAUUCUUCUCCGUUUUCACGUGGCUGCCUCUCUCCUCUCAAUCUCAAGGCCCAGAGAUUCCAGCUGGUUAAUACGUUGCAUACUGUGCGGUAGAUGCUAUUUUAAAUUAAGACACUGUAUGAGCACAUGCAAGAAGCGUAAAAAAAGCCAUUUGACUUUUUUUUUUUUUUGACAUUUCCAUACUUUUCUGCAUAAAUACUCGGAGGACACCUUCUAAAUCUCGCCAGUGGCCUGUCACAGCUAAACUCCAGGGAAAUAAGGCCACAGCAGCUGAGUCCUGGGAGAUGUGAGAGAAGCAAGUGACUCAAAACCUUGGGUGGCCCCGCCCUGCCUCUCUUCUUCCGCAAGGAUUUUGGGCCUGGGUGAUCACUCUUCCUCCGCGGGAGGUAACCUGGGUCUCUGAUGCCACUCUUGCAUAUUUGGGAUGCCGCAGACCUUGGAUUCCCAAGACGUGGUGUGUAGCAUGCAGAGCGAGCUUUUUUUUUUUUCUUUUUUUAAAAUUUUCUAGAUCUGGCUUUACUUUUUAUUUCCCUUUUUAAAAUUAAUUUAUUUUAAUUUGAGGAUAAUUACUUUACAAUAUUGUGAUGGUCUCUGCCAUACAUACAUCAACCUGAAUUGGCCACAGGUUACAUGUGUCCCCUCACCCCAAAACCCCCUCCUCAGCCUGUCCCUCUGGGUUGUCCCAGAGCACUGGCUUUGGGUGCCCUGCUCCAUGCGCAGGACUUGCACCAGUCAGCUAGUUCACGUAUGGCCAUGUACGUGCUUCCGUGCUACUCUCUCAGGUCACCCCACUGACAGCCCCACAUGCAGGGCAGCAAAGGGGAUGCAGACGUAAGGAACAGACUCUUGGACUCAGAGACGCUUUAACGACGUGUUCUUGGGAAAUGAAUCUCCCGUGUCAGGGCCUGACAUUGAUCCAAGCUGCUCUGGGAGUGGGAGGCCCUGACAUAUUUGCCAAGUGGAAGGCUUCUCUGAGAUCAGCAUUCAGAUGCCACAUUAUCAGUAAUAAUCUGCUCCUGCUGCUGCUGCUAAGUCACUUCAGUCGUGCCCGACCCUGUGUGACCCCAACAG